rnacentral:rRNA from 1 species
AAUCAACGCUGGCGGCGUGCCUAACACAUGCAAGUCGAACGAGAAAGUGUAGCAAUACAUGAGUACAGUGGCGACCGGGUGAGUAACACGUGACUAACCUACCUUCUUGUGGGGAAUAACCUUCCGAAAGGAGGGCUAAUACCGCAUAACAUCGCGAGGUGAGAUUCCUUGUGAUCAAAGGAGCAAUCCGCAGGAAGAGGGGGUCGCGGCUGAUUAGCUAGUUGGUGAGGUAACGGCUCACCAAGGCAGUGAUCAGUAUCCGGCCUGAGAGGGCGCACGGACACACUGGAACUGAAACACGGUCCAGACUCCUACGGGAGGCAGCAGUGGGGAAUUUUGCGCAAUGGGGGAAACCCUGACGCAGCAACGCCGCGUGGAGGAUGAAGGUCUUUGGAUUGUAAACUCCUUUCGAUCGGGACGAUGAUGACGGUACCGGAAGAAGAAGCACCGGCUAACUCUGUGCCAGCAGCCGCCGCCGUAA